rnacentral:rRNA from 1 species
AAACGACUCUCGGCAACGGAUAUCUCGGCUCACGCAUCGAUGAAGAACGUAGCAAAAUGCGAUACUUGGUGUGAAUUGCAGAAUCCCGUGAACCAUCGAGUUUUUGAACGCAAGUUGCGCAUGAAGCCAUCCGGUUGAGGGCAUGCCUGCCUGGGCGUCACG